rnacentral:lncRNA from 1 species
UGUGUUUUGAUUCAAAGUUUUGAUUUAUUUCAUAAAGUUUAUGUUUUAUGUUUUUCAAAUGAUUUAUUGCAUUAGAUAUUUAUUUGAAUGGUGAUGGAAAUGGUGAUGGGUGUGUAAGGAUUAAUUUCCUUUCACACACACCACUUGCACCACUUGCAUGCUUUAUGUCAAAACUCACAAAUCAACACACACAUCACUCUAUCCUCUUCCAAAACCGGCCACCCC